rnacentral:rRNA from 1 species
GCACAAGCGGUGGAGCAUGUGGUUUAAUUCGAUGAUACGCGAGGAACCUUACCCGGGCUCGAACGGCUAUGGAAUUACAUAGAGAUAUGUAAGUCUGCAAAGACUGUAGUCGAGGUGCUGCAUGGUUGUCGUCAGCUCGUGUCGUGAGGUGUCGGCUUAAGUGCCAUAACGAGCGCAACCCUCAUCAUUAGUUACCAUCAGGUCAAGCUGGGGACUCUAAUGAGACUGCCAUCGUAAGAUGCGAGGAAGGUGGGGAUGACGUCAAAUCAGCACGGCCCUUACGUCCGGGGCGACACACGUGUUACAAUGGGUGGUAUAAAGGGCAGCUACAUGGCGACAUGAUGCUAAUCUCCAAAACCACUCUCAGUUCGGAUCGGAGUCUGCAACUCGACUCCGUGAAGCUGGAUUCGCUAGUAAUCGCGCAUCAGCCACGGCGCGGUGAAUACGUUCCCGGGC